rnacentral:lncRNA from 1 species
AGUGUUACGGCGAACGUCGUACCUGUUGUGUGUGUGUUUCCACGAUUUUCGAUUUGUCCACCGAAAAGUGCCAGGCAAAAAAAAAACAAACAAAGAGCUACGAAGGAGUGAAAAAGUCCUGCAUAUCGCAGACAAUAGCAACAGUUGGCAGCAGAUCGCUGGUGAACAGGAGAGCAAAAUGUUUGAAGUCGCCUGCCUGAUGUUCAUCUGCCCUUGGCUCAUACUCGUACUGCUCAUGUUCAUCGCCAUGACUGUACUCUAGUACUCUAGUUGAAAAAUGUAAACACAAACUGAGAGGAAAAUAACGAACAAGAAUGGGCACACAAAUUGCAACAUAUCCGCUGGCAGUGUGCCCAAAUAAUCAUCGGAAAUUAACAGAAGAUUCCUCUUGCGCCACCCAAAUAUUCCUAUAAAAAUGUGCUUUGAUUGUUUUUAUUACCCCAUCGUUUGUUUGUUGACCGCACGAGCAAGUGCAAUGUGAUUUAAAUUAAAGAUCUUAUUAUGUAAUACGUAUUUAGCUUAAGUUAGAAUUUAAGCUUGGCAAAUAAACUACAAAGAAAUAAGCG